AACGAACGCUGGCGGCAUGCCUAACACAUGCAAGUCGAACGAAGGCUUCGGCCUUAGUGGCGCACGGGUGCGUAACGCGUGGGAAUCUGCCCUUUGGUUCGGAAUAACAGCUGGAAACGGCUGCUAAUACCGGAUGAUGACGAAAGUCCAAAGAUUUAUCGCCAGAGGAUGAGCCCGCGUUGGAUUAGGUAGUUGGUGGGGUAAAGGCCUACCAAGCCGACGAUCCAUAGCUGGUCUGAGAGGAUGAUCAGCCACACUGGGACUGAGACACGGCCCAGACUCCUACGGGAGGCAGCAGUGGGGAAUAUUGGACAAUGGGCGGAAGCCUGAUCCAGCAAUGCCGCGUGAGUGAUGAAGGCCCUAGGGUUGUAAAGCUCUUUUACCCGGGAAGAUAAUGACUGUACCGGGAGAAUAAGCCCCGGCUAACUCCGUG
rnacentral:rRNA from 1 species